GCGAGUCUAUUUUGAAGAAGUACUGUUGAUAUUUGGCUCUGUUGACUAAUGAGUUUGCUGACCACUGUGCUAGGACCUUGCUAAACUUACAAGUUCCAGGUGGGUGUAUGUAUCUGGAUUCCUUAGGAUUAGCUAUAUAUAGGAUCAAGACAUUUUUACUUCAACAUGUGUACUACUUUUUUCUUUUUUGUGUGUGUGCCUUAUUGCACAUCCAGUACAGUGUUGAGUAGAAGUAGCAAGAGCAGACAUUCCUACCUUGUUCCUGAUUUUACAGAAAAGCAUUGUCAUUUGCCAUGAAUAUGAUGCUGAUAUUUUUCAUAGUAGUUGCUGUGAUGGGCACUGAUGCUCCCCCAACCAAAGAUACCCAUGUUGUUAUCCCUGCAAUCAUGAAUAUGUCAGGUUACAUAGCAAAGGAAAUUAAGGUUGCUAACCAGCUGACCUCAAAAUAGUGAGAUAAGUGGAUUUUCCAAGUGGAGCAAAUGUAAUUACAAGGGUCCUUAAAAGUGGAAGAGGGGUCAGAAGAGGUCCUGCUCUUCUGGAGGAGUACCCCCCUCCCCUCCUUUCUGAGUUUGUGAAGUGAUUGGUUACUGGUAGAAUGCAUUAGUGAAGGCAUGUGGGCCUGGGCUUCCCUUUGCAUGAAGACUUCAGGCUUUUAUCAAUUGAAUUUUUUGUUAGGUCUAUUCUGAUUUUGUUUGUGAGGCAAUGUGAGAAGGACUCGAUCCACAGUUGCUAGCUUUUGAAUAUGGAGGCUGGAAGCGAGGAGCCAAGGAAGUAGGCACCUCUAGAAUCUAGAAAAGGCAAGGAAACAGAUCCUCCUCCCGCUGAAAUCUCCAGAAGGAAAUAGGCCUGCUGACCAUCCAGUGUGGCUCAUGUCAGACUCCUGACCUCCAGAACUGCCAGAUGAACUAGACAGACUCUGAGAAAGGAACCAGCAGCUGACAUUCUGAUGAAAUGGGAUUUAGCCCAAGACUCUACUGGCAACUUCGCACUGAAUAACUUCAUGUAACCCCCCAGACCAGAGGAGAAUGGCCAGCUGAUGCAGAAAAGCAGGUGGCAAGAUCCAGUUCCCAUCCUGGAUGCCUUCUCGCAAAGAAAGGAAGGACCGUGCUCAAUGUAAUAACAGGUACUCAGCCUGACCGCCACCCUUGAGGGGAGGAGCGGCCUCGGUGCCCAUGGUGCCACACCUGCCACUUCCUCCUGGCAGCACCACUCCCCUGCCCUUCCUCUCUCUACUGAUGGUUCCUCUCCGGUUCCAGACCUAUGAACGCCUGAGAUCUCGACCUCCCGCAUGACGGCACCUGCCUCCCGGCUUUAGGACUCACCACACGCUGGUGACUCCUCACGGGCAUUUCCAGGUGGACCUUGCCUUGAACUUCCCUGCCUACCCGGCUGUUUCAUAGGCAUUUAAACUCAACUUGUCCAAACCUGACCUCCCACGACUCCAGUGAGUAAAUGGACAUGGAAUCCCCUUAACAGCACUCACGGCUCAGAUCCAAGCCGGGAGCAAACGCCUCUGCCUGCACCUCAGCUCACUGGGAACUCACCACCUCUCACCUCCACCUGCUGCUCCCGCGACCCUGCCAUGACACUCGGAGAAUCCUAGUAGGGUCAGGUACGACCUGCCUCUGCACCUCUGAGUGUGGGCGCCAAGUCCUCCCGUGCCCUGUACCCUGACCCACUCCCCUCCCCUCUGCCCGCACAGCCUCGCUCUUCCGCAGACCUGCUCGGGGUAUCUGGGCAGCCUCUCCCUAGAUCCCCUCAAUUUUACUUCAUGGCACCUCCUCAGUGAGGCCUCCCCUUGGGUGCUCUAUCCCUAAGUGCUGUUUUUUCUCUGCAGUGCUCCCUCCGUCUGACCUGCCAGCACUUCUGUCAUCUCUGUCUUCAUCCCUCAGGAUGAAGCUCCACAGGGAAGGGACUUCUGUCUGCUCACUCCGAGUCCCUGGAGUGUCCGGCAUCUGCCACAUCAGCGCAUUCAGACAUUUAGGAAACCAAUGAAGUCAGAAUAAAGGCCAAUGUGUCCACUUGCCUCACUUCAACAGGGAGAUCUGGAAAACCACAUCCCAGAUGGAACUCAGAGGGUCUACAAAGGAACAACAUCAGGAAGUAAUAACCAGCCAAAAUGCAGAAAAUAUGAAAAGAAGAAAACACCCACCACCCCACACCCGAGACAAGUGCAGGCUUGUGUACAGCUCAUUACUGGGAAGAACAGCAAGAAGUCAGAUGCCCAGGGUCCCUCCCCUGGCACGACAGCCCCCUCUACAGGGUGGUGAGUUCUCAUGUAGGGUAUUCAGGCUUCCCCUAGGGCAGCGGUUUUCAACCUGUGGGUCGUGACCAUCGGAAAACACAUAUAGCAUAUCAGAUAUUUACAUUACGAUUCAAAACAGUAACAAAAUUACAGUUAUGAAGUAGCAACGAAAAUAAUUUUAUGGUUGGGGUCACCACAACAUGAGGAACUGUAUUAAAGGGUCGCGGCGUUAGGAAGGUUGAGAACCACUGCCCUAGGGAGAAGCACCCUGGAAGAGCCCUUGGCAGGCACCCUGUCACCUCCAGUCAGGAUGGUCUUGCCCCUGAUCAACACUGACCAAGGCAGACAGAGAGAAGAUGCAAAUUGGGCCGUUUGGCCAACUGUUAGCUUCUAUAGAAACUCCACAAGAAGGUCAGGAUUGAGAGCCGGGGUCUCCACCCUCCUAGCCACCCCUGCCCUCUGCCCAGCUAACCUGGAGGGUCACGCCAUAGUUGCAGACACCCAAGCCCAGGCUUCCUGACCAUUCAGGGGCCCUCAAACCUGAGAGUAUGGAUCUUACCGCCCCCCACACUGUGAUCACUGGCAUCAAGCAGUAAUCCUUCAUCAUCAAAAGUCCUCUUUCUCCUGCCUGCGCUUCCUUUGCAUCCCUCUCAGCAGGUGUCAGGGUGGGCCCUACACCAGUGUGUGUGUGUGUGUGUGUGGGGCGCUAGGGGCUAUUGUAGCUCCUCCAGGGCAAAGGCUGCCUGACUUCCUUCGUGUCCCUUUGCCCGGUGCCUGCAUAGGGAGGUGCUCACAGUGGGUUAAAGACAUGUAAGAGGAACACUAACUACAGCCAGCCAUACCACGAGGUAUUUUGCAGCCAUAUAAAGGACUGGAGCUGGAACAUGCCGCACAUUGGGCCAAGUGAGAGAAGCCCAUAGUGCGCGAUCCCAUUGAUGCCCAUAGAAACAGAAGUGAGUGGUGCCAAGGCCCGGGAAGAGAGGAGAUAGGGGAAUAGUGACUGCUAGUAGGUAUGACAUUCCUUUUGAGGUGAUGAAAAUGCUCUAACAUUUAUUGUGGUGAUGAUUGUACAACUCUUGACUAUAUGGAAAACCAUCGAACUGUUCACACUAAGUGGAAAUUAUGUGGUUGGUUGAUUAUACUUCAAUAAAGCUGUUUUGUUUUUUG